AGCAGCCGCGGUAAUUCCAGCUCCAAUAGCGUAUAUUAAAGUUGUUGCAGUUAAAAAGCUCGUAGUUGAAUUUCGGGGUUAGUAAGUUGGUCAUGCCAUUGGUAUGCACUGGCUUUACUGAUUCCUCCUUCUUGACGAACCGUGAUGUCAUUAAUUUGGUGUUGCGGGAAAUCAGGACUGUUACUUUGAAAAAAUUAGAGUGUUUAAAGCAGGCUAACGCUUGAAUACAUUAGCAUGGAAUAAUGAAAUAGGACGUUAAUCCUAUUUUGUUGGUUUCUAGGAUCGACGUAAUGAUUAAUAGGGAUAGUUGGGGGCAUUAGUAUUCAAUUGUCAGAGGUGAAAUUCUUGGAUUUAUUGAAGACUAACUACUGCGAAAGCAUUUGCCAAGGAUGUUUUCAUUAAUCAAGAACGAAAGUUAGGGGAUCGAAGACGAUCAGAUACCGUCGUAGUCUUAACCAUAAACUAUGCCGACUAGGGAUCGGAUGAUGUUAAUUUUUUAAUGACUCA
rnacentral:rRNA from 1 species